CCUGGGAUCCAUAACUCUUGCCUACUUGCCUGUCCUUGUGCUGGGACUUAGUUAAGGGCUUUAUCAGUUUGUAAGGUCUACUUUGAUGCUCUUCAUUUUUGGAAGAGAGGUCAUCCUCAUGGAUUAGGUGACUAUAUGAAUCUGCUCAGAUAAAAACAUUUAUGCCAGGAAUUCAGGAAUAAAGAAGAUGUUUGCUCAGCAGUAAGGCUUAAAAGUUGUUCAAGUUAUAAAUCUCUUUGAAUCAACUCCCAGAGCUCGGGCCUCUUAAAAAGCUGUUGUGAUGGAGAAAGCUGGAGUUUAUGCAUGAAAUCUGGCAACCAGCUCAUCAAUUGCUGCUUUUUGGAAUGAGAAAAGCAGUUUGGCAUUGCGCUUUGCUGUUUUCCACAAUGUUAAAUAUAUUCGUCACUUAUAUUUCAAAAGAAACUUUGCUGAAACCUUUAAUGGAAAGUGGGAAAGAAUAACACUGCAGUUAUAAGGAAAAACAGAAAUAUUCCCCACAAUGGAAAGGUCCCAAGUAGAUGAUAGAAAACAGUUUCUCAAAUGAUUACACUGUGGAAUAUUUCACCAUUUACAGCAGGAAAAACAUCUCCUAAGUAUGUAAACCUGAUAGAAAUACAUUCUCUAGUUAUUAUUCA